GAGAAUGCUAGUGAGACGGUUGAGAUG
rnacentral:sRNA from 1 species